rnacentral:rRNA from 1 species
UACGUAGGGUGCAAGCGUUAAUCGGAAUUACUGGGCGUAAAGCGUGCGCAGGCGGUUAUGUAAGACAGUUGUGAAAUCCCCGGGCUCAACCUGGGAACUGCAUCUGUGACUGCAUAGCUAGAGUACGGUAGAGGGGGGAUGGAAUUCCGCGUGUAGCAGUGAAAUGCGUAGAGAUGCGGAGGAACACCGAUGGCGAAGGCAGCCCCCCUGGGCUAACACUGACGCUCAGGCACGAAAGCGUGGGGGAGCAAACAGG